GGCCCGGCCUCCCUGGGAGCCGCCAUGGUGGCGCCUGAGCCCGGGGCGGGUCGAGGCGGCGUCGUCGCCCGGCGCGGCCGGCGGCCAUUCCCUCGGGGAGGCUGAAGCCCGGCGAGCCGACACCGGAGACCCGAGGCCCGCGGAGAGGCCUCAGCGGAUCGCCGUCCCGCCCCGCCCCGUGACCCGAGGCGAGGCCGAGAGAAGAAGCUGGCUACCUGGAAGCACCACUCCCUGCUUGGCACCUCUGGGUACUUACUUGAGCUGUCCCAUGAGGCAUUAUGACCUACUCGUGACCAGUGAGCACUUCAAAUGUGGCUGAUCUGAACUGAGAGGUGCUGUAACUGUCAAAGACAUACUGGGUGUGGACAUCUCUCCUUGGUCAUCUAAAAAUAUUGAUUACAAGUUAAAAUAAUAUUUUAGGUAUUUAAAAAUAGAAUCGAAUAACUAUUGAAAAACUUAGUGCUACUACCAGAAAAUGUGAAAUUAGAUUCACAUUCGAUUUCCAUUAGAGAAGACUGCUUUAGCCUCAGGGCAAUAUCUUUAUUGAUCAACAAUGGAAGAAUCUGACCUCCCCAUUUCCCUGGGUUGUUAACAGUCAUAUGAUGUCAUCCUUGUGAAAGAGCUCUGCAAAGUGCUACACAAAAUGUCAUAAUUUAAGAUGUUUAAUGCUCACUUGGGUCACCAAUUGUGAUAGCUGUUCUUAUAGGAUAGUAUAAAAUUUGUGGUGUUUUG